rnacentral:rRNA from 1 species
AUCAACUUUCGAUGGUAGGAUAGAGGCCUACUAUGGUGGUGACGGGUGACGGAGAAUUAGGGUUCGAUUCCGGAGAGGGAGCCUGAGAAACGGCUACCACAUCCAAGGAAGGCAGCAGGCGCGCAAAUUACCCAAUCCUGACACGAGGAGGUAGUGACAAUAAAUAACAAUACCGGGCUCAAUCGAGUCUGGCAAUUGGAAUGAGUACAAUCUAAAUCCCUUAACGAGGAACAAUUGGAGGGCAAGUCUGGUGCCAGCAGCCGCGGUAAUUCCAGCUCCAAUAGCGUAUAUUAAAGUUGUUGCAGUUAAAAAGCUCGUAGUUGAAUUUCGGGGUUAGUAGGUUGGUCAUGCCUCUGGUAUGUACUGGUCUCACUGAUUCCUCCUUCCUGAUGAACCGUAAUGCCAUUAAUUUGGUGUUGCGGGGAAUUUGGACUGUUACUUUGAAAAAAUUAGAGUGUUUAAAGCAAGCUAACGCUUGAAUACAUUAGCAUGGAAUAAUGAAAUAGGACGUUCGAUCCUAUUUUGUUGGUUUCUAGGAUUGACGUAAUGAUUAAUAGGGAUAGUUGGGGGCAUUAGUAUUCAAUUGUCAGAGGUGAAAUUCUUGGAUUUAUUGAAGACUAACUACUGCGAAAGCAUUUGCCAAGGAUGUUUUCAUUAAUCAAGAACGAAAGUUAGGGGAUCGAAGACGAUCAGAUACCGUCGUAGUCUUAACCAUAAACUAUGCCGACUAGGGAUUGGAUGAUGUUAAUUUUUUAAUGACUCAUUCGGCGCCUUACGGGAAACCAAAGUGUUUGGGUUC